rnacentral:rRNA from 1 species
AGCAGCCGCGGUAAUUCCAGCUCCAAUAGCGUAUAUUAAAGUUGUUGCAGUUAAAAAGCUCGUAGUUGAAUUUCGGGAUCAGUACGCUGGUCGUGCCUUUGGUAUGUACUGGUGUCACUGAUUCCUCCCUUCUGAAGAACCAUUAUGCCAUUUACUUGGUGUGGCGGGAAAUCAGGACUGUUACUUUGAAAAAAUUGAGUGUUUAAAGCAGGCUCGCGCUUGAAUACAUUAGCAUGGAAUAAUGAAAUAGGACGUUUGAUCUUAUUUUGUUGGUUUCUAGGAUCGACGUAAUGAUUAAUAGGGAUAGUUGGGGGCAUUAGUAUUCAAUUGUCAGAGGUGAAAUUCUUGGAUUUAUUGAAGACUAACUACUGCGAAAGCAUUUGCCAAGGAUGUUUUCAUUAAUCAAGAACGAAAGUU